AUUGAACGCUGGCGGCAGGCUUAACACAUGCAAGUCGAGCGGGGGAGGUUGCUUCGGUAACUGACCUAGCGGCGGACGGGUGAGUAAUGCUUAGGAAUCUGCCUAUUAGUGGGGGACAACAUUCCGAAAGGGAUGCUAAUACCGCAUACGCCCUACGGGGGAAAGCAGGGGAUCUUCGGACCUUGCGCUAAUAGAUGAGCCUAAGUCGGAUUAGCUAGUUGGUGGGGUAAAGGCCUACCAAGGCGACGAUCUGUAGCGGGUCUGAGAGGAUGAGCCGCCGAACUGGGACUGAGAAACGGCCCAGACUCCUACGGGAGGCAGCAGUGGGGAAUAUUGGACAAUGGGCGGAAGCCUGAUCCAGCCAUGCCGCGUGUGUGAAGAAGGCCUUUUGGUUGUAAAGCACUUUAAGCGAGGAGGAGGCUCUUAAGGUUAAUACCCUUGAUGAGUGGACGUUACUCGCAGAAUAAGCACCGGCUAACUCUGUGCCAGCAGCCGCCGUAA
rnacentral:rRNA from 1 species